rnacentral:piRNA from 1 species
UGACUAACAUAUAUCUGGCACAUGGU